AUUGAACGCUGGCGGCAGGCCUAACACAUGCAAGUCGAGCGGUAGCACAGGAGAGCUUGCUCUCUGGGUGACGAGCGGCGGACGGGUGAGUAAUGUCUGGGAAACUGCCUGAUGGAGGGGGAUAACUACUGGAAACGGUAGCUAAUACCGCAUGACCUCGCAAGAGCAAAGUGGGGGACCUUCGGGCCUCACGCCAUCGGAUGUGCCCAGAUGGGAUUAGCUAGUAGGUGAGGUAAUGGCUCACCUAGGCGACGAUCCCUAGCUGGUCUGAGAGGAUGACCAGCCACACUGGAGCUGAGACACGGUCCAGACUCCUACGGGAGGCAGCAGUGGGGAAUAUUGCACAAUGGGCGCAAGCCUGAUGCAGCCAUGCCGCGUGUGUGAAGAAGGCCUUAGGGUUGUAAAGCACUUCCAGCGAGGAGGAAGGCACCAUACUUAAUACGUGUGGUGAUUGACGUUACUCGCAGAAGAAGCACCGGCUAACUCCGUGCCAGCAGCCGCGGUAAUACGGAGGGUGCAAGCGUUAAUCGGAAUUACUGGGCGUAAAGCGCACGCAGGCGGUUUGUUAAGUCAGAUGUGAAAUCCCCGCGCUUAACGUGGGAACUGCAUCUGAAACUGGCAAGCUAGAGUCUUGUAGAGGGGGGUAGAAUUCCAGGUGUAGCGGUGAAAUGCGUGGAGAUCUGGAGGAAUACCGGUGGCGAAGGCGGCCCCCUGGACAAAGACUGACGCUCAGGUGCGAAAGCGUGGGGAGCAAACAGG
rnacentral:rRNA from 1 species